AAAUUAAGGCGAAGUGUACGUAAUUGCACGCCUCUAGCGGAAAACGGGAUUAAAAACGUUCGUCGUUAGUUACGCAAGUUAUCUCCCUUACUCCAAGAAAGGACACACGAAAGAGAAACUACUUUCUGCGGUCUAUAAUGAAUCCAACAAGCACUCCUAUGCUGUCUUAAACCUCAUAGAAAUUAUCUAAAUAACUCCAAUUAGAAGUCACAGCAUUCUGUACGUUGUUCUGUGUGCAGCCUGACUUAAAAACACUGUUUUUUUGUUUGUUUUAGACGCUAGGAGAAGGCAUUUCGUGUUUAUGAUAUCAACAGAAAGAAAAAACGCCUCACAACAAAAUUAUACACAAAUAAACAAUAUAAACACAUGUAACAAUUUUUCUUCUAUUGAUAUCAAAUUAAUUAAAAUGAAACCUGAAUUGACC
rnacentral:lncRNA from 1 species